UAGAGAUGGGCUCAGUGGUUAGAGCACUGGUUGCUCUUGCAGAGGGCCUAAGUUCAGUUCCCUGCAUGGUGGCUCAUAACCAUCUGUAACUCCGGCCUCGGGGGACCUAACUCUUCAGGUAGUUGCUUUUACGUCACGCAUAGGCACACAAUCGAAACACUGGUGCAUGAACUAGACCGAGAAACACGCGUGAACUCCACUUGGAAGGCAAAGAAAACUCAUGGAGAGACAGAAAGUGCAUUCUGAGGCAUAAAGCUGUUCACAUCGGAACACACAACCAUAAUGGCAAGCAGUUAUUCUGAGAAGGAAUGAAAAAGUGAAUCUUGGGGCUGGAGAGACGGCUCAACGGCUCACAGAGAAGAGGAACCAGUCUCAUUUUCAUGAGAAAAGUACAGGGCUUUCUAGUGAAGACACUGAACAGAAAUUCCUUGGUAACCGGGGACUUCCUUAGACUGAUGGAAGGGUGAUGCCCGGUUAGCGUCUUGGUCAUCGCGCGAGGACGCCUGUGCUUUUCACAGACAUUGAAAAACGUUUCUGGAACUAUCUAUAGAUUGACAGAAGUUGCUACCCGAAGAGGUGGAGACAUCACAAAGUGGGACAACCAGAGUGGGGGGUUUCACAUCAGAGAGCCUGCCGGGUGGUGCGGGCCUGUAUUCCAGCAUCUGGGAGGAUGGAGGAGGCAAGAGGGUUGUUCAAGUUCCAGGCCAGUCUGGGCUAUGCAGUCACAAGACUUGGUCCCUGGCUCCAACCCCAUAGGAAAAAAAAAAAAAAAGAACCAUCAAGUCAGACAAACAACUGAUGAGGGUAACACAAAGCAAUGACAAAAACAAAAACAAAACAAAACUAAAGCAAACAAGGAAAGCAGCAGUUGUCUCUGAGACCUGACCGGCUACUGCAUUGGUAAGAAGGCCCCACCCUCCAGGCUCUUGAGUAGACGCAGGCUCGCCACAGUAACGAAAGCGCUUGUUGGCAUCUUCGUGUUUCUACAAGAGAGAAGGCAUCUCCCUAAGACGGCCCCCAGCAGAAACAAGCUGGAAGACUGCCCUGUCCUGGUGCCAUGGCCUGGAACCAGCACCUGAGUCAUCAGGGAAGAUGAGAG